rnacentral:rRNA from 1 species
GACGAACGCUGGUGGCGUGCUUAACACAUGCAAGUCGAGCGAUGAAAGCCUUAUGAACUAUUCGUAGUGAUUGGGGCCGGAUUAGCGGCGGACGGGAGAGUAACGCGUGAGCAACAUGCCUUAAACAACGGGAUAGCCUCGGGAAGCCGGGAUUAAUCCCGUAUGAGACCCCGCCUUCACAUGAAGAAGAGGUUAAAGAUUUAUCGGUUUAAGAUGGGCUCGCGUCUGAUUAGCUAGUUGGUGAGAUAAAAGCCCACCAAGGCAACGAUCAGUAACCGGCUUGAGAGAGUGAACGGUCACAUUGGAACUGAGACACGGUCCAAACUCCUACGGGAGGCAGCAGUGGGGAAUAUUGCACAAUGGGGGAAACCCUGAUGCAGCGACGCCGCGUGAGCGAUGAAGGAAUUCGUUUCGUAAAGCUCUGUCCAAGGGGAAGAUAAUGACAGUACCCUUGGAGGAAGCCCCGGCUAAAUACGUGCCAGCCGCCGCUGUAAGAC